rnacentral:lncRNA from 1 species
ACCAUUAGCCGCGGGAAUAUCAGUAUGGUGACUCCUUACCCUGGGGAAGUGUACUUAGGCCACGGCUAGUGAGAACGUGGCCAUGGACAAGAAUUCCAAGUAGUGGCACUUCUGUAGACGACGCGGCCCUUUUGGGGUUACUACAGCCCAGGAAACUCACAUGCGACACGGCGCCAGCUGAAGUCCAUCUAGACCCCCGCAGACCCAAGGUCACAAGUUGAGAACCCCCUGCCGUGGACAUUCUUCUGCACCUAGUGGUGAAGCAGGUGGAGCUGCACCUUGCUCCGCCCAUUUGGAGACUGGUUCUGCACAUAUGAGUGUGCCCUGCAGCGAUCCUGCAAUCCUUCGUGACUAACAAGGACUUUCUGUGAAAACAGAUUUAUCUUUUCUUCUCUACCUUUAAGGUUUCUUGCUGUUGAGAAUAGUUAAGGGACGAGGAAUUCUUAUUGCCCCCAUUUUACAGGCAAAGAAACUAAUGCUGACCCCAACCUUACCGACCACUUGGAGGUCCCUAAAAACACAUGACCUUUGUGUUUCUCGGCUGUUAGUGGAAUCCUUUCUGUCUGCUCAUGAACUCAUCUUCAAACGCAUUCCAGGCCUUCAGAACUCUUCCGUGAGCGCAAGUCACUGGUAUGGGCCACUGUUAACUGCCGGUUAUCACCUAGAUUUUCUUAACUAUGCUUUGCCCUCUGAGGCCGUGAGCUCUUGAAUCUUCACCUUAGUCUGUAGGAGGAAAAGUUGUUUGAGAUGAUAUUUGAAUCCUUCAUUUUAGGCCAAAUUCAGAACAUAGCAAAAGGUUCUGGCUAACAUGCAGAACAGUAUGUCUGGACUCCCACUACUGUUGGUCUGCAAAGUUGAAGGCUACUCUAGGCAAAUAUGUCACCUUUAAUGUAUCUCCUUAGGAGGAGUCUUUCACCUUAUUCAUGCUCCUCAGCACCCACACCAAAAGAUUCAUGAAGUAAAUGUUACCUAGUCUCUGCUUUACCCCAUUACCCCCGGCCUGAGGACCUUUGAACCAUUUUAAAUGCUCUACCUGCCAGCCUGGCCAUCUGUGCAUUGCUUGCUCCAUCCACCCUUCUGACUCAGCUGAAAUACCACCUUCCCAAAGAAGUCUAAGUGACCACCUCAUCUAAAUUGGGUUUCCUGCCCACCCCUCCUCUAUCACUUUGCGCAUGGUUGUAUUUCUAUCACAGAACUUCCGUCCAUCA